rnacentral:rRNA from 1 species
GACGAACGCUGGCGGCAUGCCUAACACAUGCAAGUCGAACGAACCCUUCGGGGUUAGUGGCGCACGGGUGCGUAACGCGUGGGAACCUGCCUUUAGGUUCGGAAUAACUCAGAGAAAUUUGAGCUAAUACCGGAUAAUGUCUUCGGACCAAAGAUUUAUCGCCUUUAGAUGGGCCCGCGUUAGAUUAGAUAGUUGGUGGGGUAAUGGCCUACCAAGUCGACGAUCUAUAGCUGGUCUGAGAGGAUGAUCAGCCACACUGGGACUGAGACACGGCCCAGACUCCUACGGGAGGCAGCAGUGGGGAAUAUUGGACAAUGCGGGAAACCGUGAUCCAGCAAUGCCGCGUGAGUGAUGAAGGCCUUAGGGUUGUAAAGCUCUUUCCAGGGAUGAUAAUGACAGUACCUGGUAAAGAACCCCGG